UGGCAAUUAUUUUUAAUGAUACAAUGGUAUAGUUUUAUUAGCAAUUAUUUUUAAUGAUACAAUGGUAUAGUUUUAUUGGCAAUUAUUUGUAAUGAUACAAUGGUGCUCUAAACCAUUCCAACAACAUAAAUGAAAAAUUGGCCUGAUUGUUUAAUACAAUUUGAUGCUUUUUAGACCAUAACAACUUGUUUAUAUGUUUUUCGAAUCUUGGACGCUAACAGCAGAAUAAUACUGGAGAAUUCUAGCAAUGGAAUUGAGAUGUUAUAGAAGGAUACUACGAAGACCGCAUUACAAAUAAGAUUCAAAUUAGUGUCACAA